UACGGAGGAUGCGAGCGUUAUCCGGAUUUAUUGGGUUUAAAGGGUGCGCAGGCGGCGUGUCAAGUCAGCGGUAAAAUGUCGGGGCUCAACCCCGGCCGGCCGUUGAAACUGGCAGGCUCGAGUUGGAGAGAAGUAUGCGGAAUUCGUGGUGUAGCGGUGAAAUGCAUAGAUAUCACGAAGAACUCCGAUUGCGAAGGCAGCAUACCGGCUCCAUACUGACGCUCAGGCACGAAAGCGUGGGGAUCGAACAGG
rnacentral:rRNA from 1 species